GCAAGUCGCACGAGAACGUUCACCUUCGGGUGAAUCAGUAAAGUGGCGCACGGGUGAGUAACGCGUGGAUAAUCUGCCUUCAAGUAGGGAAUAACAUUGCGAAAGCGAUGCUAAUACCGUAUAAGCUCACGAUUUGAUUGGUUGUGGGAAAAGAUGGCCUAGUCUAUGCGAUCGCUUGAAGAUGAGUCCGCGUACCAUUAGCUUGUUGGUAGGGUAAUGGCCUACCAAGGCUUCGAUGGGUAGCUGGCCUGAGAGGGCGGCC
rnacentral:rRNA from 1 species